UACGUAGGGUCCGAGCGUUGUCCGGAAUUACUGGGCGUAAAGAGCUCGUAGGUGGUUUGUCGCGUUGUUCGUGAAAACUCACAGCUCAACCCCGAGCCUGCUUCCGAUACGGGCAGACUAGAGGUAUGCAGGGGAGAAUGGAAUUCCUGGUGUAGCGGUGAAAUGCGCAGAUAUCAAGCGGAACACCGGUGGCGAAGGCGGCCUUCUGGACAGUGACUGACGCUGAGACGCGAAAGCGUGGGGAGCAAACAGG
rnacentral:rRNA from 1 species